rnacentral:miRNA from 1 species
UUCCACAGCUUUCUUGAA